UACGGAGGGUGCAAGCGUUAUCCGGAUUCACUGGGUUUAAAGGGUGCGUAGGUGGGCAGGUAAGUCAGUGGUGAAAUCUCUGGGCUUAACCCAGAAACUGCCGUUGAUACUAUCUGUCUUGAAUAUAGUGGAGGUGAGCGGAAUAUGUCAUGUAGCGGUGAAAUGCUUAGAUAUGACAUAGAACACCAAUUGCGAAGGCAGCUCGUUACACGAAUAUUGACUCUGAGGCUCGAAAGCGUGGGGAUCAAACAGG
rnacentral:rRNA from 1 species